CGCCCGGCGGAGCUGCCCUCCGCCACGCCUUGCUGGUCUUUUCAGAGGCAGCCUUCGCUGCCUGCUAACAUUUCUGAACCCCUGUGCCCUUAAGAAAGUUUAUAAUACGUGACUCCUGCAGGCUUAGAGAGCAACUCCGAAAAUUCAGCUGCGGCGCCAUCUGCUGGACGCUCCGCGACGUUGCAAGGCCCUGCCCCGGGAAGGGGAGAUCGCGUUGCAGGUGAAGGCCCAGCAUUUGCCGGGGAAAGACUGGCACCAAGGUGUCCUCUUAGGAAAACCUGGGGCUUUGGAGGAGGCCUAAUUCAUCUCAUGACAGCAGCAGGACUGAAAACUAAAACUGUAUUUUCCAUCACUGUACACAGAGAAGUAUCAGGAACAGAAGUUACAAGGUGUUUGUUCCCCUGAAUGGAACUGAGUUUGCUGAAUGGAAGGAAUUUUAAAAGUGAAGAGGGUGACAGAAAUGAAGUUAAUCUGGGAGUGGGGAGGUGCUAAAAUGUGGCCUUGGCCGUGUUUGUUAUAAAGUCACUAAGUCCUGCUACCA